CGGCGGACGGGUGAGUAACACGUGGAUAACCUACCUAUAAGACUGGGAUAACUUCGGGAAACCGGAGCUAAUACCGGAUAAUAUAUUGAACCGCAUGGUUCAAUAGUGAAAGACGGUUUUGCUGUCACUUAUAGAUGGAUCCGCGCCGCAUUAGCUAGUUGGUAGGGUAACGGCUUACAAGGCAACGAUGCGUAGCCGACCUGAGAGGGUGAUCGGCCACACUGGAACUGAGACACGGUCCAGACUCCUACGGGAGGCAGCAGGG
rnacentral:rRNA from 1 species